UAAAAAUUUAUGGAAGCCAAUGAAGAAUUCAUGAUGAAAGGGAAGGAGACCUCCAUUCUCGAUCGCUAAUAGCGUAUUUUGGGAUAAUUCUUAAAGAUCGAUAGUUUGUGGCUAUUUAUCGCCAUCAUCUUCACACUUUAAGGUGGAUCAAUAAUGCUUUUGGUCUCAGGAAAGAGUUCUGUUGUUGAUAGGCAAAGAUUAGAAGAUCUUUGAAUUCUCUUGUACUUGGUCUAUUUAGACCGUCUUUGUGUGGAGCUCAGUCCUUUUUUGUUUGCGCCUGCGAUAGGUAUCUAACAAGUAACAACGGGUCAACGGCAGAUAAAAAUAUUUAUACCUUUCUUACAACUCUUACGUUCUGAUGAUGUGCUUGCAAUAGGUACCUUGAUUGUUGCGUUUUACAUCCCAUUUUAUCCCUCCACAUUUCAUCAAGUUGCCAUGAAAGGCACCAAAGCUAUUUAAAGAGCGGGUACUGGGUUUUUUCUUCCGCACCUCACAAGUGAUGCAAGUAGAGUAUGCUGUAUGUUCAACUGUCGUUUAAGCUGUGCAGAUAUCAUCUUAAACACACAAAACAAGGCACUGACAAUGCAUGCUCGACCGAACACUAUUCUGCUCAUCAAGCAGUUCCUAAUCUGAUGCUACUGCUCCUACAGUUUUGCUAGCCCGAGCAAUCUUCCCUAGCUAGCUUCGGACUUCUUCUAGUAGCUUGCACGGGCUAGUCCCUUGGUUUCUUUUGCAUGCACUCAAGACAGACUUCUGCCCUUCACACCGUCACUUACCAUGCUCCGCUUGGCUCACAUUACCCUUGCUAGCUCAUCCAUGACUCCAACUAAGCCAUCGUGUAGACCACUUCGCAUCAUCCUUUCUUGUCCAUGUUCUUGGGAAAUAACCUCGUUAUUAGAGGAUUUAGUUUUCGAACUAACAGAAGUUGGUGCAAGAUUAGACCCAAUUUUAAUUUAGGAGGAAGAGGCUUAAUUAAUUUAAGUCUUGAAUAUUUUCUACAAAACCUUUGAGUAGCUUUCGAGCAAGAGCAAGAGCAAGAGAGCACUAAAGAGAGCAAUCCUGGAUAUUUAUCAAUAGAGUUCUUAUCGAUAGAUAGCAUUUCAGUAUCAAUACUUGACACUUUCUUCCUUUUUACACAUUUGAAAUCACCUACUUCGAGUUUAUAAUAUAUUUGAAACCCGAAUAUAUAAUCUGUGUUCUAUUAUAAACACAAAAAGUACAUACAUGACGACUCUUAAAAUUCUAUUGAUCAGAUUUAUAACUCAAGAAGCCUUAACUCUACUAUUAUUAGCUCUUAUAUAACAAAAUAUAUAUGACACAUAAAGUUUAUAACAAUUAAAUUCUUUGGCAUACUUAAAAUUUUUGAACACCCAUCGCACAAUAAAGAAGUUGAAGUUAUUG